AGCUUUGCACAGUGGCAGUAUUGAAGCCAAUGAGCUUUAUCCAACUCACUAUUAUUACUAAUUGAAAACUUGUCCCAAUACCCCACCAUGACGACUGGAAAUGUACUCAGCAUUGACAAUUUUUGGCAGUCUCUACAGGGA
rnacentral:snRNA from 1 species